rnacentral:rRNA from 1 species
CUGCUGCAACUCGACUCCAUGAAGUCGGAAUCGCUAGUAAUCGUGGAUCAGAAUGCCACGGUGAAUACGUUCCCGGGCCUUGUACACACCGCCCGUCACACCAUGGGAGUGGGUUGCAAAAGAAGUAGGUAGCUUAACCUUCGGGAGGGCGCUUACCACUUUGUGAUUCAUGACUGGGGUGAAGUCGUAACAAGGUAACCGUAGGGGAACCUGCGGUUGGAUCACCUCCUUA